AUCAAUGUAUUUAAGGAGAAAGUUUCACAAAUUGAUGUCUUGAAGUAGCAAAUUGAAUUUCUAAUGCAAAUGCAAAAUGCUGCCGAAAACUAGGUAAAAUUUCAUUCUUGUUCAUCACAAGCUUAAUCGGAAUACUAAUUAUAAUAUUGACAGUUGGUCCAAAUGUUUUAAGUUCUGAUUUAUGUUCAGUUAUAGAGCACAUUUCAAUUGUAAAACAUGAUUUUGCAAAAGAUUUUGUUCAAUUUGUUAAUCAUUUUUGUUUCUAUCUAAUUUGAGUACACUACAUGAUGUGAACAUAGAGGAAGAGAAUAGCGUGCAACUCAGUAUCAUUUGGAAGUUGCCUUGGUGAUUUAGAUAUUAGAAUUGGAGAAUAACCCAGGUAAAUGCAAUACUUUGGUUGUGUUCAUCACAAGUACUCUACCAACUAUCCAAUAAUUAAGUGUUGUCUCACAUUUCUAAUAUUAUUUUUUAUAGUUGUGAAUUUGUAUGUGUGUGGAAUAAGGAAUACCUUUGUAAUGUUAUUUUAUGCAUUUAAAUUAGAUACAAUAUCAGACCAAAUUAUGGAGCAAUAUUGAUUGUUGUUGUGUGCUUGGGUUGGAUUUUCCAUACUAGAGUUGUUGGGUGCAUCUGAGGUUAAAUAUGGCAUGUAUCGGCAUCUAUAUUUUGGCAUUUGUGUGGUCUUACUUCUCUAUGCAGGUUGCAAUUUGGAAUUGAUCAGAGUUGGUUUUGGUAUUUCUUUUAUUGAGAUGAUGCAGGAUAUGUCAAAGACUCACAGUAAAGAAUGGAGUUUAUUUUGUGAAGGGUUGCCUCAUGUCCUGGCAUGGAGUCUUGGUCUAUAUGUUUUGUCCAUUUAGUCUUUUAUGAUUCUGGUCAAUAUGGAGUCUUCGUUUGUAUAUGUUUUUGCCACUUAGUCUUAUGUGUUAAUAGUCCCGUCAAUAUUAGUGACUGGAUUGUGUUGUAACUAGGAUAGUUGUGUUGUAACAAAUGGAUUGUGACUAUGUAUUUGAUUGUGAUUAAUGAAAAUCAAAGGUAUUUAUU
rnacentral:lncRNA from 1 species